AUUGAGCGCUGGCGGCAUGCCUUACACAUGCAAGUCGAACGGUAACAGGUCUUCGGAUGCUGACGAGUGGCGAACGGGUGAGUAAUACAUCGGAACGUGCCCGAUCGUGGGGGAUAACGAAGCGAAAGCUUUGCUAAUACCGCAUACGAUCUACGGAUGAAAGCAGGGGACCGCAAGGCCUUGCGCGAACGGAGCGGCCGAUGGCAGAUUAGGUAGUUGGUGGGAUAAAAGCUUACCAAGCCGACGAUCUGUAGCUGGUCUGAGAGGACGACCAGCCACACUGGGACUGAGACACGGCCCAGACUCCUACGGGAGGCAGCAGUGGGGAAUUUUGGACAAUGGGCGAAAGCCUGAUCCAGUCAUGCCGCGUGCAGGAUGAAGGCCUUCGGGUUGUAAACUGCUUUUGUACGGAACGAAAAGACUCUGGUUAAUACCUGGGGUCCAUGACGGUACCGUAAGAAUAAGCACCGGCUAACUACGUG
rnacentral:rRNA from 1 species